GUGCUAUACAUGCAAGUAGAACGCUGAAGAGAGGAGCUUGCUCUUCUUGGAUGAGUUGCGAACGGGUGAGUAACGCGUAGGUAACCUGCCUUGUAGCGGGGGAUAACUAUUGGAAACGAUAGCUAAUACCGCAUAACAAUGGAUGACACAUGUCAUUUAUUUGAAAGGGGCAAUUGCUCCACUACAAGAUGGACCUGCGUUGUAUUAGCUAGUAGGUGAGGUAAUGGCUCACCUAGGCGACGAUACAUAGCCGACCUGAGAGGGUGAUCGGCCACACUGGGACUGAGACACGGCCCAGACUCCUACGGGAGGCAGCAGUAGGGAAUCUUCGGCAAUGGGGGCAACCCUGACCGAGCAACGCCGCGUGAGUGAAGAAGGUUUUCGGAUCGUAAAGCUCUGUUGUAAGUCAAGAACGGGUGUGAGAGUGGAAAGUUCACACUGUGACGGUAGCUUACCAGAAAGGGACGGCUAACUACGUGCCAGCAGCCGCGGUAAUACGUAGGUCCCGAGCGUUGUCCGGAUUUAUUGGGCGUAAAGCGAGCGCAGGCGGUUUGAUAAGUCUGAAGUUAAAGGCUGUGGCUCAACCAUAGUUCGCUUUGGAAACUGUCAAACUUGAGUGCAGAAGGGGAGAGUGGAAUUCCAUGUGUAGCGGUGAAAUGCGUAGAUAUAUGGAGGAACACCGGUGGCGAAAGCGGCUCUCUGGUCUGUAACUGACGCUGAGGCUCGAAAGCGUGGGGAGCGAACAGGAUUAGAUACCCUGGUAGUCCACGCCGUAAACGAUGAGUGCUAGGUGUUGGAUCCUUUCCGGGAUUCAGUGCCGCAGCUAACGCAUUAAGCACUCCGCCUGGGGAGUACGACCGCAAGGUUGAAACUCAAAGGAAUUGACGGGGGCCCGCACAAGCGGUGGAGCAUGUGGUUUAAUUCGAAGCAACGCGAAGAACCUUACCAGGUCUUGACAUCCCGAUGCUAUUUCUAGAGAUAGAAAGUUACUUCGGUACAUCGGUGACAGGUGGUGCAUGGUUGUCGUCAGCUCGUGUCGUGAGAUGUUGGGUUAAGUCCCGCAACGAGCGCAACCCCUAUUGUUAGUUGCCAUCAUUCAGUUGGGCACUCUAGCGAGACUGCCGGUAAUAAACCGGAGGAAGGUGGGGAUGACGUCAAAUCAUCAUGCCCCUUAUGACCUGGGCUACACACGUGCUACAAUGGUUGGUACAACGAGUUGCGAGUCGGUGACGGCGAGCUAAUCUCUUAAAGCCAAUCUCAGUUCGGAUUGUAGGCUGCAACUCGCCUACAUGAAGUCGGAAUCGCUAGUAAUCGCGGAUCAGCACGCCGCGGUGAAUACGUUCCCGGGCCUUGUACACACCGCCCGUCACACCACGAGAGUUUGUAACACCCGAAGUCGGUGAGGUAACCUUUGGAGCCAGCCGCGUAAGUGACA
rnacentral:rRNA from 1 species